rnacentral:lncRNA from 1 species
GUGUGCGUCACAGAAAUAGGUGACUUUAAAAGAGUGAAGAAACUCUUAUCUUUCAAUGUCGGUUAUUUGGAUGAGAAGGAUGUAUUUUGGAUUGUAAUUGUUGAUACUAAAGCGUCUUGUGUGCAAGACGUGGCAAAGUUUGCUGUGGCAAAGCAUAAUGAAGACGAACAUGAUAGUCUUGUCUACCUUUCUAUCACUAAAGGUUGGUAUCGAGAACUUGACCCGUAUAAUGCUAUAUUCUUCGAAAUUCAUCUUACGACGAAGGAUUGUUUUGGACGAGUGCGUGAGUUUAAGGCUUUGGUUCUAGAAGACAAACCUCAAAAGGAGAAAAUCCGAACACUCAAAUAUUUCGAAGUUAUAAAGAAAUGUUGAAAACUUGCUAUCUAUAUGUAAGUGAGAGUGGUUAUGUUAUGUGUUAUGUCUAUGUUCUUGACUAUAUAUCCAUAAAUGAAUAGUCAAGUUUAAACUAAAUAAAACGUUUUAAAUUAUAUGUCACUCUUUAUGCCAAAUUUUAUUAAGGAAGUUGUUUAUAUUAUAACCUAUUAGUUAUUGGGAAUUUAUACGAGAUAUAAAUAAAGUCACUUCAUUAAAAUGAAAAUGUAAUAGAUCGAUGGUAAUAAGAAAUGUGUGGGGUGCCAUUUGAUUGCUUUUAGCAUUGUUUACUUAUGUUCUAUGAUCGUAUUGACACAUGAGGUCACUUCCAACUUAUAAUCAACAAAUGCAAAUUGAUUCACAAAUUAAAGGCAUUCAGUUCAAUUGCACCUAGUAAUUAAGUUGUAUAUUUGUUACUGUGUUUCGGUUACAACUACCAUUAUUGUUAUUGUUUCAGCUGAAAAAUUAUCAAUUUGACAUUUUAAUAUUGUCGUUAUUGUAAUCGCUUUGGAAACCUUAUCCUUUGAAUUCCUAAGUCGUAUAAGAAGUUAAGUAGAGGUUGUUGUUGAUGUGUUGUGUUGUUAACGUAGCUUAAUUGAAGGAUUAAAGGCUUGUUUGAAAUUCAACUAAGUGUUUGGGAGCUAGGGUAACCAACUUAGGUGUUAUGAGAACCUUCAAGAGUAUGAUGACCAAUAGUAGUUUAAGUGGCCAAGUAGAAGAGCCCUGGUGUGAAACUCCGAUCUGCAAAACAACAAGAAUGCAGGAAGUAGUGUAGAUAGGACACAAUUUAGCUUAAAACCUUGCAAUUGAUCUUAUCACCUAACUCAAACUCAACCCCUUUUAAACUACCAAGUGAAAAACAUAACGUAAUGGAAGUCAACAUAAACGUCAAGUACAAUAAUUAACAUAACCAAAACUUACGCUUAUUUAGAAUGAUUUUGACCACAUGGUUAUAUUGGUACAAUAUGUAGUUUAUUGAAAAUGGACUUGAAGGAGAUGCUGAUUCUGGCGGUGAAGAAGAUGAACCGGAGGACACUGAUGGUGUGAAAGUGGAACAUCUCUACACAUUUCAGAUUAUCAAGGUUUUGCACUAAUAACCGAUUGAUUUACUAUAGUGAUGAAGCUACCAAGCAAGUGAUUGAUGUUUGAUUCGUGACAAGACUUGUUGCAAUUUAGUUAUCUAUGACAAUACAUUGCAUUUAGUUUCUUUGUAAAAAUAUAUUACCAAUGUUUAGUUUCUAUUUCACUUGUAUUUAUCCCUUUGGGAAAAUUCGAUAGAUUUAGUGUACUUAGUUUUUUUGUAAAUAUGUUAUCUAUGUUAUUUUUAUAUAUGAAAGUUCUUAUUUAUAUGUGUACUAGUUUUGUGUUAAAAUGGAAUCAUUGGAUAACAGGAAAAAAAUCUAAUUGAAUUACAAUUUUUUUUAUAAAAAAAAUUCAUAACAUAUUUGACGGUUAUAAAAUGUCAUAAACAAGUCCAUCCUUGACGGUUUUUCAAUGUCAUAAACAAUCAAUUUCUUGACGGUUAUUAAAUGUCAUGAAUACUUAUACUCUUGACGAUUUUAAGUUGUCAUAAACAUUCACACUCUUGACGGUUUUUACCUGUCAUGAACAUUUGUAUACUUGACAUUUAUAAAACGUCAACGUUCAAUAUUCUUGACGUUUUUAUCAACCGAUAAGAACUUUGGCUUUCUUGACACUGGCUUCAAGGACGGUUAUAUUAAUUUGAUUCAUGAUAAAAUUAUUGGUUAUGAGAGAAAUUUGUAUUUGAAUAUGAUUCAAAUUUAACUUAUCUUAAAUAUAAGAUAUUUAAUUUAGUUGUUAAUUAAUUAGAGAAUUAGUUAAUAGUUUAUUUUAAUAUUAUUUAAUUAAAUUAAUAUAAAACUAUAAGAUAUUAUUGAAAGAUAUUCAUUAAAUAAGAUUUAAAUAAAAUAUUAAUUAAAUAUGAUUUAAUUAAUUAUUAACUAAUUGAUUACUUGUUAAUUAAUUAGUUGAUUUGAAAUUUAUGCUAAUUUAAUAUUUUUUAAAUUAAUAGAAUCUCAUGAUUCUCUUCGACUCUCUUUCCUUAGAUACAAUUUUCUUUAACAAUUCAAUCAACCAAAAUAAAACUAAUAAUUUUGUUUUUCCACAAAAGAGUUUCUCUAAAAAAAUCUCCAAACUUUUUUCCAUCCGAAUUGGUUCCCCACAAACCAAUCUCAUCUCAAAAAAUACGGAGGUGUCCGAAACCAAUCUCAUCUCAAAAAAUAGGGAGGUGUCCGAUGGGUGAUGUCCCAAUUUUGUGAUUUAUUUUGUAGAUUCAGAGAUGUUAACACAAGUAAGUUUUUCUUUCUCUAAUCUAUAAUUAGAAAACAUGCUUAGCCGUUAAGUCUUAAUAAGAAAAUUUGUUUUUAUUGUAUUUUGUCAUUCUACUAGUAUUUUGGGAUUUCCAAAUUAAAUUGAGAAAUGAUUCUAAAAUCUUUCACUGCCAAUGACUUUUAUCCCUUCAACGAUGGCCUGAGAAACAAUCUCUAAAUUUUCUGUCUUUCAUCCUACCCAGCAAGCAUCAAGAUGCUCAUGCCUUUGUUCUGGGCCUAAUCUUUGUUUUCCAUCUCCCCGAAGAUUACUCAACUUAGUAAGAAAAUAGGAUAGAAGAUACAGCUAUUACAUUCUUCCGCUCUUUGCUUACUUUGCUUGCUUAGCUUUUCUUAGAUCACAAAUGAGGAUCAUGCCUCUUAUUUAUAGGCAUAAAAUCCUUGGAGCCUAAUGUGUCACACUUCAUCCCGAACAUAUCCUAACAAAGCGAUACACAGUGUGACUUGAGUAUUCAUGACUUGUUUAAACAAAAGAAACCUCAACCUAGGUUCUUAAGCUUAGCUCAAAUGCCUGAUCACUGAGCACUUACACUUAUUUUCACAUUUGUAAGUGAUAUUAUAACAUUAUAACACAACGAAUAAGAGAUAAAAAAACAACUCCAUUUCAUUAACUUUCAAUUAUGUGAUCUACAUUACACUUUACAUACAUUGAAGCACAUGUAUAAAACUUAAUUUAAAUGCUCUAGGAUAGCCUUCUGGCCUAGUUAGCCUCUUAAGCCCUUCUUACUCUAAGAUGAACGCCUAAUCACCUGGGAAGUGGAAAAUCUUAAAACAUAAGUCAAAAGACUUAGUGAAUGAAGUUUUAAAAAAACCUUUUCGAAACAUGUUACAUAAAUCAUAACUAUUUCAAUCGUAUAAUACAUAAUACACAUUAGUCUUGUGUCUCUUUCGUCGGAAACAUGAACCAUUCCCUAAGUUAAGACCCAGCAUCUUAAUUCAUUCAUCAUUGCUCAGGUCGCCUAACACAAUACACAUCUUUUAUACAUUGGCUAGCUUCACUCUAUCCGUAGUCCCUUUUUACAUCACUGCAUUACUUCUUAUGUGCACAUAGUUAGCUCUUUGAUAGGAUUAAAACUAAUGCUUUGAAAAUAUUCUUUCACAUUCGUUGAAACACAAAACAUUGCUUUUAAAACAUAAGCUUUCAUUUAAAUUUAUUUAUAAGUACUCAUUACAAACAUGAAUUCAAAAGAAAGCUUUAAGUUUACAAACAUUUACAAAUAUCACUCACUCACAAAAUUCAGUUGCCUUAAAUCCAGAUUGCUUCUACACUUCUUCUUCUUGCGUAGUCCUUCAACAACAACUUCAACACUUAGUUUUUCUUUUUCAAACUUUUAGAAUAACUUCCUUCUUCUAAUUCCUUCCUCUAUUUAUAAUAAUCCUAAUUUCGAUUAGUCAUCCUUAAGGUUCCUAAAAUAUGGCCAGCUUCUACUUGCUUAAAGUAUUAUACGUGUAAGCUUAGUAUUUCACUCAAUCUUACUUAACUUCAGCUUAACACGUAACCCUUGUCAAAUCAAAUUGAUAUUUUCUCGCUUGCCUUUUCUCGCAAAGAACUCUACUCGCCUAACUGCCUUUUAAUCGCCAAAGUCCUUAUCAUGUUGCCUUCAUUACGGAAUAAGACUUAAACACCUAAACGUCAGUUUUCAAAAUAUAAACUUCUUCAAAAUGCCUUCUCUCAAUAUUUAGUAAAAAAUUUGACACUUCAAAUAUAAACUUGGGUCUCACACAAUGUAAAGCCAUGAUCCAAAGAAAAGGGGUUGUGUUAAAGAGGAGUUAUGUUAAAAAGAGACAUUUUGGCUAAGCGUAAAUAAUAAGCAAUCUGUGAUCAAGGAUGCCUUCAAGGAAAGGUGAUGCAAGGAGAGAUGCUUACAGUCACUGUUGCGUCGAAGCGAGGUGACGCGAUAUGAUUAGCUGGCGAGGAAGAAGCAUGCAUUUAAUGCAAAGAACUAGACAACAACACGGGAAUAAGUACCUAUGCCUAAAGUGUUGAUGCAAUGAAUUAAGUGUUUCAUUGAAAGGAUGGAUGUUCGUAUGAGGCGACUAGACGACUAUCUGAGGGAAAGUAAAUGUUCUAUUAUUUUUCAAGAAGGGAGUCAGAUGAAAAAGAAUUGAGCAUUCCAAAAAGAUAAGGUUAGCGUUUCAAGAGAAAUAUCUAAUUGCGAGUAACAAUUGGCAACGUGUUGAAAUUAUGUUGGUUGUAUAGCUUGAUGAGUUAUAGCUUGACACAUGUAAAGCGUGGAAAUGACCCAUGAGUUUGAAAGGUCGCUAUAAAUAGGACCAAAGAGGUCGGAAGAAAGAGGGGCAUAAGAUGCUAAACAUUAUGAUUAAUUGUUAAGAGAAAGUGUCGAGUGUUGAAAGGUCGAUUAAGGGAAUCACUAGGCAAGACGAGAAAGCCAAAAGUAAGAAAAGGAAAGAGUUUAGGCUAAGUAUUUCUGUGAGUGAUCCUUUUAAAUGAAAGAAAUAUUUUGUGAAUGAUUGCUCUUUUUAAUCUUAUGUUUGACGAUUAACAUUUGAUAAUGAUACUAAUGUGAUGUGAUGUGUUGUAUGUAAUGCUUUUGAGAUAAUGCUUCUUAUCUUAUUGGCUGUAAUGAUUGAAUGAUGUAUUGGUGGAAGUGAAUCCCAGGUCUAGGGCAAAUAAAUGUUGAUGAAAGUGAAUCCCAAGUCUGAGCGAGAAAUGAAUUUUGUUCUUCAUAGUUGGGUGCUGGUGAAAGUGAAUCGUAGAUCUAGGUGAGGUUGUAUCAUGAGACACUGGUGGAAGUGAAUUCCAGGUCUAGGGGAUGGUCUCAGGUUUGAGUGUAGAACGAUCAUUGUGAGACACUGGUAGAAAUUUCAAGUUUAUCACGAGACACUAGUGAAGUGAAUCCCAGGUUCAGGGGAUUGGAUGUGGAUUGAAGAAUCUCAGGUCCCGAUGAUAAAUGAUGAACAUGCUGAUGAAUGAAAUGUAUGGAAUUGCGUUCUUAAGAAUAAGAUUGUUAUUAUUGAAAAUGUUGUUUUCCCUAAAAAUGUAUUUUCUCUAAACUCAUCACUCACUAACUUUGUUACUUAUAUUUUAAGUUUUUCUUCCCCAGGUUGUCAGGCGUUGAAGCUAAGUAAAGAAUGGAUGUCAGGUGUAGAAGCCAAGUAAAGGAGGAAAGGUGGGAUGUUAUGUAAACUUGCACGGUGAGAAAGGUGGUCCUCUGUGUACAUGAAUCUUCGAUUAUUGUUUUCGUUUCACAAAUAUUCUUAGAAAGUAAUAUCGGUAUCAUUUUUCAUCCUUGUUUCUUGAAUUUAUUCUUUUAAGUUCCAAUACAAAGAUAUAUUGCCCCAAAAAAAAGGUAUAUAAAAGAUGAUGAAAUGUGAAUUACCUUUUUUUUAUCUUUAUUAUAAAGAAUUUGGUGGAUCUUUGAUUCAUAGGUAACGUCUCCAAACUACUUUACAAGUUAUGAAGAUCCUCCAUUUAUACUCCUGAUUUCAGAAUGCUCCCACUUGUAAAGUAGUUUGGAUACCUUCUGUGGAAAGCUUUUUAUGCUAUUGUCUAGGGUCUUUAGGGAGAAAAACAAUAGAAUUUUCAAAGGAGCCGAGAGACCUUUGUGUGAGGUGUGGUGUCUUGUGAGAUAUCAUGCCUUUUUUUUUUUGUGUUUUCGUUUAUAAGGAAAUUAUCUUGUAAAUACCUUACCACCACCACCUUCUUGAUUUAAGAUAUUUGCAUUGGUACAUACAUAUGUAACAGAGAAAAACAAUUGCAAUAAGUGAUCGUGGUUCUUAUUUUAAUUACACUUUUUCUUACUUUUAUAUUUUUAAAGACAAAAGAAAAGAAUAAAUGGAAUUUGUUGUUGCAUACUUGUUUUGUACCUUCUUUAAUUUUUUUUUUCUCCUUUUCAACUGUUGUCUUUAUCUUGAGUACUAAGAUAGAAAUAUGAAAUCGUGCUUCAAUUUAGAAGUACUUGAGCCUGUAUUAAUAGCAAAUUGUGGUGCAGCUGACCGUUGUUUUCAUGGUAAUGGUAAUUUCUAUGCAAGAGUUGUACACCAUUUUCUCAUUAGUAAAUGCUCAUGUUGUUAGAUUGUUAGAUUCUUUGUUAGGAAUUUGGAGUAAGGUAAAUGGCCCUAUUUAUUCUCUUUCUAUUGGGUUAAUGAUUCUUCACAUGAUUGAAUGGGUGACCUCUGGUUUGAUUAAUCUUCAUUCUUUUGAGAAAUUAGAUGUUGUUAGCCAUGCGACUUUAACGUCUUCAUAGGAAAGUUAUGCUUCAUUUUUGUUGUUGUAAUGUCUGCAGCUAGAAUAUUGAGGUCUUUUAAUACUUACAAAGGUUUAUUAAGUAUUUUUAACUACGUUUCUUUGAAACUUACCAACUAGUGUAACUAUGUUUUUUAAGCUUGUGGUCAUAUGUCGAUUUCUUAAUGUCAAUGAUAUUUUGUUGUUAUCCAAGAAGAGAACUCAAACCUUUUAUUUGAUAAUUUUGUUUGGUUUCUAGCAUUUUGUACUACUUUGCUAUUUAGUUAAUGGUUGAGAUUUUUUUAUACGCUAAAGUAAUUGUUUCACCAUGUGCUAACAACUUUUUUCUCAACGACAUUCCUUUAUGAAGUUUCCCUCCGUAAGAUGCAUGAAAAGUCCAAGAGUGAGGUAUUGUUUAGCUUGCCUAGUUUCACUUAUUGAGCAGGUAACAAGUUUUUUUUUUUUUUUAUGCCUUGACGAUUUUGAAUUAUUUUGCAUUGAAAUAAUUUUUUUUUCUAUUAACAUUUAUUUAGUUCAUCGUUGGAGAUGAUGAAUUUUCUUAUUGUCCCAAUCUUUUGGUCUCUUUUAUGUCCAAAAAUGAUCUUUUAUUCUCUUUCGACAUCUGUUUAAACUUACUUUCUAGUUUAUUCCUCUCUGAUGAUUUUCAUUUGUUGUUUGCUCCUUUUUUAUAGACAAGAUAUCUUCAUUUCCGAAACUGACCUGUCGAAUGGGGGUGGUGCCAGGAUCUCCAGUUUUUUAUAUUUGUAUUUGAGAGACAUAAAAUGUGAAUUUAGUAUCAUUUGCUUUUUUGUGAAUUGAUUAAUGAGAUAUUGAUGGUGUUGCAUUUGAGUGCACAAUUUACUAACUUGCUCCUUUGUCCACUAGCUCUUGGGUCAACCCAUAUAUUUUGUGUGUGCCAUUUUCACUGUUUUUUAUUAAUGGCUGAAAUUUCAUACUUUUUGCUUUUAGUGUACUUGUAAAUUGUUUCAAACUUGAUUGAAAAUGUUAUAAUUAAAGUUAUGGUUGUUGUUCUCUUUUGUUGUUUGUCAUUUCACUGUAUCUUAAUUAGCUUUAAAUAGAACACUCUUUAGUCAUACUCUAAAAUGAUAUUUUUUUUUCUUACUAGGUUUGGAAGAAUCCAUUGGAGCAGUGAAGCCAACAAGGAGAAAUGGAUUGAUAUAGGAUUUUUUAUAUGGUUGGUAGAAAAAUAUUGGUUCUAAUGUAUUGAUUUUAGGCUUGUUGGUAGCUAAAGAUGUCAAUGUUAUUUUUUUGUAUGUAAACUACCUUUUAACAAAAAAAAUGGUUAUUAGUCAAUGGGUGUACGAAUAUUACAAAGUGUAUUACAACAUUUAUAUAUAUUAAAGUGUCGACUUUUUGUUUCCUAUAUGGGUGUGAUGUAUUAAAACAUUAUUGUCAUUGAAAUGGUUAAUGUAAUGACAGAGCGGCAAGAAGAACAGAAAAAAAAAUUAGUAAUUAAGGAAUAUACGACAGGAAAAAAUGUCAUAAUAUACGAAUUUGUGACAUUUUCUAAUUGUUGUCAAUAUUAAAACAACGACAAUUUAAUUUUAUAAAAAACUGUCACGAUUGACCUAUCUUUGACAGAGAAAAAUGUCAUAAUAUACGAAUUCAUGACAUUUUGUAACUGUUGUCAAUAGCAAAACAAUUACAUUUGCUUUUAUAAAAAAAAAUUGUCACGAUUGGCAUAUCCUUGCAGAUAAAAAAUGUCAUAAUAAAUGAAUUUACGACAUUUUUUUAAUUGUUGUUAAUAUGCAAAUGAUGACAAUUAUUUAUUGUCAUAAAAUAAAAUAUGACAAUUAUUUGUUGUCAUAAAAUAAUAAUCAAUGAUAUUUAUUUUAUGUCAUGAAAAAACUUAUUGUGACAAUUUUUGAAUACUAUCAUGGAAUGACUUUCCACAACAGGCGAUACUAUGACUGUAAGUAACUGUCACGAAUUUUGUUUGCGACAGAAAAUAACUGUCAUCAUAGACCAUUUUUGUUGUAGUGGAUCGUGUCAUCCUGUUUCUUAUUUAAGGAGUUUGUAUGCCAAUUCGUAUACUCCCAAUUGUCGAGGACUGCAUCUCAAUUCUGAAGAGAAGUCGAGUGCAACAUCAUAGUUUUAAAGAAAUACCAAGGACAACAACUUACUUUUGUGUGGUCCAAGACGAUGAGUGGAAGAGCUGAGCCAAAGAUGAAGAGCCUAGAGCUAUCGUUUUAAGUCUUGUGAUUUUAAAAGUUUAAAUUCCAGUUGUACUUUGUUUAAUGAAUUGAGUUAAUAAAGAGAAGAAGUUGUGUCAUUCUGGUGCAUUAUUAUUUGUGCUUAUCAACUAAUAGUUAAAAGCUAUGUUCCAUUAAGUUAUUGGAGGCUAGACGAUAGUGCUAGCUGGUCUAAAAGUUAUCUUUUCACAGUUGCGAUAAGCUUUGAGUGUUUCUAAAGUUCAAAAUAAAAGUUUUUUGAUGAGACAAGUUUAGGAAGUUGUUCCACUCACUAGAUGUUCGAUAUGUCAUCUUGCGACGAGAUACACGAUGAGUGUCUAGGCCGGACGUCCCCAUCUAGUUUCAUGGAGUGGCAUUUAGGGCGAUGUUGAAGCCAAAGAUUUCUCUAAAAUUCUAACUAGUUUAGAUAUAUUUAAUCUCAUCGUAAUUAUCUUAAGGAAUUCAUUCAUUAACCUAAAAAGUUUAGAAUGUUUCUAUAUUUUUUCUUAGAUAUUUAUUUACAUCUUUUAACGUAAUUAUAGAGAGAUCUAAUAAUUUACAUACUAAUUAUAUAUUAUGGAUACUUGGAUACUGUUCUAGAAUAGUUAGUGUUGCUAUAUAGUGUAGUAUUAUUUACUUUAUUUUUUGAGUUUAAUGACAUUGUUGUCCUUGUUCUUAAUUAUUUUUUAUUUCCAUGGUUUUGGAAAUCAUUUGGAAUCUAGAAGUUGAUUAUUUUUCUGAUGCCUAAUAUAAUAUAUGCUAUUCUAAAAAAUUGUGAUUGCUUUUAUUGUUAAACAUAUACAACUCUAGCAUGCUAGAUUCUUUGGUCAAAAGGAGAACACUUGAAUACUUUGAUCAAAUUGAGAGAACUUCGCUGAGUAAUGGGUCAAGUGGAAUAUAUAAAAUUUGUAUCCCCAAGACAUGUAUUAGUUUAGGGUUUUACAAACAAAAACAACAAACUCUUAACCAAAGUUAACUAAUUUAGUUAGAUUUUAAGCUAUAUAACAAACCACUAACAAUAAUUAACAAACUAACUAACAGAAUAGAUAAUCAAACAAUUUUAUAUAACUAGCUAAACAAAUUUAACAAAUAUAUAUAUAUAUAUAUAUAUCCUCAACAAGAGCUGGACUUGUUCAAAUUAACGAGGGUAUAAAAGGUAUUAUAGAUGCCUUUCAGUCAAUUUUUCCUUUUUCCUUCUGCUCAUAUAAUCCCACCACCCCUCUCUCAAAACACACCAUAGAUUGGAGAAAAUUUAUUCAAUGAGAGGCAUAUGGCUGUUGGUGGUUGUGAUCAAUGAAACUCAGGUGUCCAAGGCAGUGAAAUGCGACCCAGGGGAGUUGAGACCAUGUCAUUUGUCCUUCACAAUGUCGAUGGAGCCAUCGUCGGCUUGUUGCAAGAAGGUGCUGCAGCAUAGGACAUGCUAUUGUGAAUAUAGUAAAAAUCCAAAGACUCAACCUUAUUUAAAAUAUGAUGCCACUCAAAGGAUCAUUUCUGAUUGUGGCGUUGCAAUCCCAACUUGCUAAAAUUUCCCAUAUGUUUUGGCUAACAACUUCAUAUGAAGUGAUUAUAUAUGUAUACACUGGUUUUGAAGAGGCCAUAAUUAAUCGCACAUUCUCUUUCUUAUUUAGUAUGUGUUUCAUCGUUGUUUUUAUUCUUCAAACCUAUUAACUUUAAUACUUAAUAGUUACAGAGUUUUAGUAGGUAAUAAUUAAUUAGGUAAGUUCUAAAUUUUAGUAUUAAUAUCAUUUGCUUAUGGCUCUUAACGUGGUUUCUUUUUCUUAAACGUUUUGGCAUACUUUCUUUAGUUUCUAACCUAUUUGUUCUAAUUUAGCUCGUGUUUCAUUUAAGAACUUUCAACUUUGCCACAUUUUUUUUCAUUUAAAUGUUAUAAAAAGUAUCCUUAGUUACCUUUUGCACCAUUUUUUUAAAAAAAAAACACUCAAUUAUUGACGUUUGCUCAACCAAAGUUAAGAAAUAUAUUCUAGUAAACUGGCUGUGUAGAUGUAGAAUUCAUUCUUAAUGAUUUUAGCAAUAAUUUUGAGAUUAGUUUUGAAUAGUUUUGAAUCAAAUACAUGAUAUGUUGGGAUGUAUGUCAUAAGCCUCAGAGUUUAUUAGUUAUUAGGUAUAAUGAUUGAUUAUUUUAUAAAUGCAAUAAUUAGUUGUCCAUUACAGUAAAAUCAUAACCUAAAGGCUCCACCCUAAGAAAAACUACAUACUAUGAAAGUGGCAAGAAAAGAAAAAAAUUCUCACAAAAGCUAAGCUAAAAAUCGCUUUUUAAGACGGAAUUUUUCGGAUUUCACUUUUUCACUUAUAUGGUGUCAUAAAAGAUACAAAAAAAAUAAUUUAUUUAAUUUAUUAAAAUAAAAUUUAUUUUAAAUCAAAAGUUUAUUAAAAUCAUAUUUUUUCCUAAAAUAAAAUAUCUCCAAACCCUUUCUCUACCUCUUCUUCUCUUCUUCUUUGUUUCUUCUUCUUUGUAGAAGAUCCACACGUCGCCCCUCCUUCUCUCUUACGCACGCCGAGAACGACAAGACUUUUUGUCAACGACACGCCUGAAAUCCUCUCUUUCUCUUGCUGAACUCACGGGUGAAUCUCAGCCAUUAGGGUGAAUCUCAACCAUUAUUUCUAUUGUUUGUAUUUAUAAUGGUUCUUUUUAUGGAAAACAUCCCUCAUAGUUUUGCUUUUAUAGGAGAUAUGUGUUUGUUUUGUCUUUCAUCCUAUUUAAUAUUGUUGUUUACGAUCAUUUUUCUAAUUUGAAUCUACAUUUUUUCUUUAUGGUUGACUAUGUGAUGAAGCAUUUUGGUAGCUUACAAUGUGUUUGAUGAAAUGCCUCAAUAAAGCAUUUGAAUUAGAAAAUCAAGGCUAAGGAAGAUUUCAUGACUAUGGGCUGAAGCUUUGAAAAAAAGAAAAUGAAAAAUGAAAUGUGAGAUUUUAAAUUUUGAUGUGUGUAGGGUCUUUUUGUUUGUCUAUGCAUUUCCGUACUUUUGAUUUUUCUAUUGAUCUUUUGUUUAUGGUUGUUAUCGAGGUAUAUCAUAAUUGCAUGAUAUUUAUGAGGUAAGACAUUUGUUAUUAAACCUAAAUGUAUCACCCUAAUUUUGAAAUUCAUAACAAAGUUGCCCCGAUCCCUAGUAUCAUGAACAAAUAAUUAAAAAUUAAAUUGCUAAAAGAUUAAUAUAUAGCAUUUGUUCGGAUUUUUGUAAAAUGAAAAAAUAAUCUUAAUAAGAAACUCUUCUAAAAUAGAUAUAGGUUCAGUACUUUCAAAUGCUACUAAUAAAAUUGUAUUUUUUACAUGACACGUGUUUAAUACUAAUAUAUAUGUGUACUUAAUUAAUUCUAACUCCACCAAAAACAACCUUUUCCUUUUAAAAUCACAAGUAAACUUUAAUCCUCAAUUCUUUUUAAUUAACCCAUUUUUUCUAAUAAAUUAGUUAUUUUAAAAUUUCAUAAAUUCCAACAUCAAUUAUCUUAACCCAAUAAUUCAAUUCAUGUUCCAAUCUUUAGAUAGCACCCAAGCAAUUUAAGAUAAUUAGUAAAAUAUUUCCUUAAAGGUUUGGGAUGCUACAUUUCUUUUUCCAAUAACUAUAUUCCAAUAUGUAAUUAUCAAUUUUUCUUUAAAUAAAUCAUAUUCAUUAUCUUUUCUGAUUUACCGAAUAAGGAUGUUUUAUUAAAAUAAGUUUGUUUAGAAAAUUUAUUUGAAAAACAUUACUGUUUUGAAACCAUUUAGAAAAAUAGUAAACUUUUAAAAAUAAAAAUUACAAAAAACAAAGAAGGUGACACUUGGCAAAUUAAAAAAAGCAAAUUGAAGGAGUGGGAGAGUCUGUUUUAAUUUUUAAUUAUUAUAUAUAUGUUUUAAAAAAAUUUAAUGGUUUAAUUUUAAAAAAAAUGUAAAUGUAAAUUUUUUAUUAUUAUAUACAUGUUUUAAAAGCUUAAUUGUUUAAUUUUGAAACAAAAAUGUAAAUUUUAAUUUUUAAUUAAAAAUGAUUAUAUAUAUUUUUAUUGUAAAUAUAAUUAUAUAGAUAUUCAUAUAAUCAACAAUGUGUUACCAAUCUUUCUAUAACUCUCCCUUUAUUUCAUGUUGUAACGUUCAUCCCAUUAAAUUCUACGUUCUAUAAAUAGAGGUAUGUGGUGCUUUUGCAAGAUACACCACAAUUGAGUUCAAUUGUUUUCUACUUCCUCUCUUAUUCCUUCUCUUCUUCUUUCUCUUCUUUAAGUUGUUUCAUGGUUCUUGUUUAGCCUCUUUAUUUUUUAUUUUAUAACAUUUUUUGAAAAACUUAAUUGUUUAAUUAUGAAAAAAAUGUAAUUUUUAAUUUUUAAUUAUUAACUAUUAUAUAUAUGUUUUAAAAAACUUAAUUGUUUAGUUUUUUAAAAAAUGUAAAUUUUAGUUUUAAUUAUAAAUUAUUCGUAACACUAAAAACUUAAGAUAAUAUUGAAUUUAAUUAUCUUAAUUUUAUUUAAUUAUAUUGGAACUAGGCAUUAAUUUGAAAUAUUUGAUUUAGAGUCGAUGGUUUUAUGAAAUUAGAAUUAAUUAAAUAUUUGUUGGUUGAAUAUUUAGUUCAUUAGCCAAAUUGGAUUUUUGGUGUUGUUGAGAUUGAAUUUAAUUAAAUAACUUUGAUGUUUAUUUAAUUACAUUGAAGGUAAUUGUAAUGGAUGGUCAUUUGAGGAAUAAUAAUUAAGGAUAUAGCAACAUUUAAAAAAAAUUGCAAAUAUAACAAAACUAUCGCUGAUAGACUUGUAUCAUUGAUAGACUCGUAUUAUCUAUCGGUGAUAGACCAAUUUUUACAACAUGGUCUAUCAGUGAUAGAUUCUAUCAUUGAUAGAAUUUGACAAAUUUUGUUAUAUUUGCAAUUUUUUUUUAAAUGUUGUUAUAUACUUAAUUAUUUUGAAUUUAAUUGUUAAAUUUGCAACUAUCCCUAAACAUAAAUAUAUUUGUGGAAAAAUAGUUUUUGUGGAAGAUAAUUAAUUGUGUGGGAAAAGAUAAAUAUUGACUAUGGACAGAUUUAUAUGAUUGGGUAUAUAAGAAAAGAUAAUAAAUUAGAUUUAUUUAAAAGAAAAAUUGAUAAUUAUAUAUUUGAAUAAUAUUAUCAAGAAAAUAAAUGUAACCUCCCAAAUGAGGUUUUAUUAAUUAUUUGGGUGUUAUAUUAAAGAUUGGAGCUAAAAAUUAAUUAUUAGGUUAAGAUAAUUUAUGAUAUUUUAAAAUAACUAAUUUAUUAGAGAAGAUUGGGUUAGUUAAAAGGAUUGAUGUUUUGAGUUAAUUUGAAAUAUUGAAAGGAAAAAUUGGUUAUGAUAGCAUUCGAAUUAAUUAAGUAUAUAUACGUGGAUAUAUAUAAUUAAUUAACAAUUUAGAUUUUGGUAGAAUAUAAUAUUAAUUAUUUGGUUUUGUAUAAAUAAUUAAUAUGAAAACACAAAGUUAAUUAUACGAUGAAAUAUAAUUAUAGUUCUUGAAAAAUAAGAUAAUUAAUGUGAAGAGAAUGUUGAUUUGAUUGAACAAGAAAAGAUGAUAUAUUUAAUUAGGGAGAGAAUAAUGAUUUAAAUAAAUAUGUUUAUCAAGAGAACAACAAUAAUAAAUUAUUAUUAUUGUUAUUAUUAUUAUUAUUUGUUAUAAAUGCCUAAGAUUUUGUGCACUUAAGAAAUUUGUUGGAGAAACAUAAUGGAAAUAAAAAUAUAUGUAUAUAGUGGUAUUAUAUAUACAUAUCCUAAAAUAAAAAGAAAAUAAUAAUGAUAAAUAUUAUUAUUUGGGUGUAUAAAUAGCGUUGGAAUGCUUAAAUUGAUAAAAGAAAUAAUAAUAAAAAAACAUUCAUCUUCUUCACUAAGUUUAUUAUUGGAAUUGAUUUUGGUUGCAUGGCUUUGAAGGUUCCUUUCACAAAACUUGAAGAUUCUACCUCACUUUUAGAAUCAAAUUAAUUGAAGAAUUGUUAGUAUUUAAUUGAAAAAUUGUUAGUAUUUUGUUUGGAUUAUUAGAUAUGGAAAGAGAAAGAUUUAAUGGAUUUGAAAAUAAGUGAAUAAAAAAAGAAAAGGAAAGAUAAAUUAAUAAUAUAAUUAAUAAUAGUCAUCCUAAUAGACUUGAGAUGGAUAUCUCAUUUGAAUAACUAUACUAAUCUUUAUAACAAGACACAUGAAUUACUUCUUAAUAUUACAAUUAAUUUAGAGAUAGAAGUCUUUGUGUUCUCUAACAUGGAAUUAGAGAGUCCAUGAAACUCAAUCUGAGUGUACAUUAAAAUACUUAUUUUAAGAGAUUCAAACUUUUAACUUUUAAAAGAUCGAUACUUGUUAAUUAUGAUUGAGCUAUACUUACUUUAAUAAAAAUAUUCAAAUAAUAUAUUAGCAAAAAAAUAUUAGAACUUGAUUUAAAUUCCAUGUCAUUAAUUUUAAAUAUAGUUUUAGUCUCUAUACCACUUAAAAAAAAGUCAUAGAUUUAGUAUUUAUACUAAAAUACUUUUGCUAUUAUUAGCAUUUUUACUCAAUAUUUUGAAACAUAUUCUCAUAUUAUAUUUCCUCGUGAAACUAUUAUUAUUAUUUAGUGAAGUCCAAUUAAAAAAUUAACUAAGAAUGACUAAUUUAAUAUUUAUUAAAAUAUAUCGACUAAAAUUGAAAAUUAGAAAAAACAAUGACUAAACUUGAAGAAAACUGGAAGUACAUAAACUUAAAAAUAUCCUUAAAAAGAACAAUUACAGGUAUUUUCAAAUAUAGCAAAAAUGAACCAAACUGUUAACAAAAUAUAGUAAAAUUUUAGAUCUAUCAUUCUUGUCUAUACCUGAUAUUAAUAGACUUCUUGAAAUCUAUUAACAUCUAUCGUCAUAAAAAUCUGAAAUAUAUAUACGAAUCAUUUUUCUAUUUACAUAAUAAUAGUUCUCCAUCUCAUUACCUAGAAUGAAGGUAAACAAAAGAAAGAUAGCAUGAAAACAAGCUCUAGUGAAACGUGCACCAUUAAACUCACUAUUCAUCUUCUCCUUCCUUUGCAACCCUAGAUGUCACCCACGCUUCUUCUCCAUCACUGUCUACUAGUUUUGCUUCUCGUUGUCGUCCGUAAGCAUUCUGACGAAGCUGAACACACUCCCACGUCCAUUUGGCCGAAACAUUUGUUUCGAAAGCUAAUCUUCUCGGUUAAGUCGGUGUUCUCCUCUAUUUGUGACUUGUUCCAUUGAAGUUCCAGUCUACCUUUGCCAACCAAACGCUGAUCAAGCGCAGACGAAACCACUGGUUACCAUAUUCAGGCAUUUAGAAUAAAAUAAUAAAUAAAUAUUUGCUAACUCAAAAUUUUCAUUUAACAUAAACGUACUAUGAUAUACUAUUAUUUGUGUUUAUCUUUCAUCAUAUACACAUAUAAUAAUUUAUCAAAAACUAUCAUUGGUAUCCUAUGAUAUUUUAUUAUAUUGAAAAUGUUAAUUUUCAUAUCUUGUUCUAUCUUUUUUAUGUUCUAAUUUAAUCAAUAAUCUUUAUAGACUAUCUUUUUUUCAAUAAACUAGGGUUGAAAAUUUAGAAUAUAUUGUAAAAAAUAAGGCACAAUAACAAAAACACACAGAAAUUGAGAAAAUGUAAUAUUAAAAUAAUUAAAAUAUGAAAUAUAAAUAAGUUGUCAACAAAAUCCACUUUCUUCCAUUUCUUUGAAUAUUUCACCAAUAUUUGUAACUUACAAUAUCCAUCAAAUGUCACUAUAAUUUGUAGGCAAUUUGACAAGUAUGAGGUGGAUUACAUGGCCACUUAGGGUUUGAUAUAUCUACAAGGCACAUGACAAAGGUAUUGGAUGUGGAAGCGAAGGACGCAUGACAUGCAAGGAUACUAAGCAUAAUAGAUAAUAGGCACCUAUUUUACUAAUAUUCAUAGUACUCCACCUUAGACGUCUAUUAUAUAUUUGAAAUAUGUCUCGUUAAAAUUUUACUAGGAAAAAAUUCAAUGUAAAAAACCACAGUGAAGGGAAAAAGUACAUAUUGUAUAUAAUUUAUACACUUACAAAAAUACAAUUUACUCCACUUUAUGAAAACAUCACUUAAGAUCUUUAAGAUGUCGCAUCCAAUGUUGUACACCAAUUUUUCAAAAGUUACACUAGGUAAUAAUUUUGUAAAUAAGUCUGUUAGUUUAUCCUUUGAACAAAUUUGUUGUAUUGUGAUGUCGCUAUUUUCUUCAAGAACACGAGUCUAGAAAAGCUUUUGUAAAAUAUGCUUUGUUCUAUCGCCUUUAAUAUUAACCUCUUUUGGUUUGAGUGAUACAUGUUGUGUUGUCUUUGCAUAAUAUUGUUGGAAAGAUUUUUACUAGAAGACAACUCACUGUUCCACGAAUGUGCUGAACCAUUGAUCUUAUUCAUAUACACAUUAUCGGCUUGCCUCGUGCAUUGGAAGAAUUUCAACAUGAUUUUGAGAAUAUGACUGUUUUGGUUUGUUUCAUUGAUUGUCAUGAUCUAUAGUAGUUUCUCCACACAUGAAUAGAUAAUCUGUUUGAGAUCUAGUUUUCUGUUGAUAAAAUAAAUAUCCAAAAUCUACAAAACCAACUAAGUGAAAAUUUAAUUUAUUUGAAUACAACAAACUCAUAUCAAUCAGUUGUUUCUCCGAGAUAACGGGGUAUAUGCUUAUUUCCAUUUUAAUGUCUUUUUGUAGAGCUUUUUGACAAUUGUCUCCACAUCAGAUUCGAACCAAACAUUAGAAUACCCUAACCUUUCAACCAACAACAACACGACCAAAAUGGCCAGAAUCCCCCCCCCCCCCCCCCUUCCCCAACAACCUCUACUCAAUCAUUGCGGAUCACAACACCAUACUAGAUACCUUACAUAUUUGGGUUGCACACCACAUCCACAUUUAGUUUGAGACACCCACAUAAUGACAUGAUCCCAUGAUCCAUGAUCAAAGGGUGAUGUCCUCUUUGAUUGAAGCAGCACCCAAGCUGGCCGAUGCGACAAAUCGAACACCCAGGGGUUUUUAACUUGCACCUAACGCGCUCAAGAUCUCAACAAGGUACAACUCCAACAAGUUAAUCUUCUCCUCAACAGGGGUGUUGGCAACGACACGUGUAAUUUAUUCUUAUCCUCGCCCAAAUAUCCCAACAAACAAAACCAAAUAUCAGAAAAUUCGCAGCAGACAACUUCUCAAUAAAGAACACAAAAAGGUCUCGAAGUGGGCUACCUGACCAUCUAUCAGUCAAGAUCAAAGGUAGGCAUCUCAUUCAAAAUUCAUUAGCUGUAGUUUUCAAACAUAGCAAAAUGAAGCAAAAUUUUUAAAAAUACAGUAAAAAGUCAGUGUUUCAUCACCAAUAGACAUUGAUAGACGAUGACACCGAUAUACAUCAUUUAUCAAACAUCAAUAGAUAGUGACAUUUUGAUAUAUUUACGAAUAUUUUAACAAAUUUAUAAUUGUUUUAUUCAUUAUUUAUUUUAUUAAACAUGUUAAACGUUUAAGAUUUUACCACAAUUAUUAUUUUGGAUAUAGGAAAAACCAACCUCAAACAAAUGCUUAGGCAUAUAUUCUCGUGUAAAAGGUGAAGGUUGGAAUUUAACCCUUAAAUACCGUUUGAACUAAAAAAGAUAUUAAAUCUAUCAUCUUUAUAUCAAAAUGACUGUAAAUAUUAAAAUAAAUAAAGUGAGAAACAGAGGUUAAUUUUUAUUAGUUGAUAAGUUGCAUCAACUUCCAAUUUUAUUAAAUUGGGAAGCAAUUUUCAUUGUCUAUUCAAUUUUCAAUAAUUCAAAAAAAGAAAACAUUUCUAAAUUUAAAUACGAAACGCUCAUUAACUUCAAUUAAAAAAAAUAGCACACAUUGAUCAUUAUAAUCUAAAUAAAACUCAUAAAUUAUUGUUUUUUGAAAAAAGAAAGAAAAAGAAAAAAAGAAACGAAACUUUUUAGUAUAUGUCAUUUUCUUGAAUUUCUUCCACACCAACCUCUUUAAAUUGAUUAACUAACACUUGAGAAUAUCUUUUUUAAAAUACUUUAUUAAUGUGAAAAUUUCUGAAAUUUAAAGUCUAGGAAACUUAAUUAAAAGUUUAACAUAAAAAAUUGCAAUAUUCCUUUCAAGUUUAAAUUUAUAAAAUUAGAAAUUUAAUUAGUUUCGAUAGUAUGAUAUUUGUGAUUUUGAUAUUUAAAGAAUAAGACGUGUUUGAUAAUCGUUUCUUAUUUUUCGUUUUCAAAAUUUUAAAAAUGUUUCUUAAAAUUAGACAAAAAUAGAGAAAUUAUGGAAUGAAAAACAGUUUAAUUUAGCUUUAUUUAUUAAUCUUCAUUUAAUAAAUUUAGCUUCAAACUAGGUUUCACUACCGUGUGCCAUUAAUUGGUGUCAAUACAACGAAUUGGACAGAGGAACGGUCAACAAACAUAAAUGCAAAAAAAAAAAAACUCAAAUAAUAUUUUUUUUAUGAAAAAAAAAUUGUCGUCACAUAAGUCAAAGAUUUUUGUUCAUAGUAUCUCAUGAAAGUAUUGGGUGAUUAGCAAUUUACGACUGUUUGACGAGAAUGAGAUCACCUUUAAAAAUCUUGAAAAAGUAAAAAAGUGACAAUCGAUGUUUAAAUGUUAUUUUAAUUAAUAAAAUUCACAUAUUUAUUUAUACUAUUUAGGUUUUUAAAAUUUUUGUUUCAACUUCUAAACUUUAUAUAUUUUAGUUAGAAUUUUUAAUAAAUUUUAAUAAUUUUAAUUCUAAUAUGAUAAUAUAUGAAUUGUUUAUAAAAAAAAAUUUGUUAGUUUUGAUGUGAUUUUCUCUCCCUUUGAAAAAGAGAUUAAUUCUUUUAUACAUCCCUUUCUAUGAAAUUUUAGCCAAUUAAAUUUUGUCACAUCAUCACAACAAAUAAUGUGAUAAUUAUCUUUUUUUUUAUUAGAUUUUGGAUAAUUAAGUUUAUUCAAUCAAAUCUAAUUCAGGUCCAAUAAACAAAUUGGCUCAAGCCCAAAUCCACCAAAAAAUGUGUCAAAUUCUAAACACAAGCCUAACAGGCAAAUGAGUUCAAGCUCAAGCCCAACAGACAAAUGGAUCCAAGUCCAAAUCCAACAAGCAAAUAGGUCCAAGCCAAAUAGAUAAAUGGGUCCAAGCCCACCUAAAGCCCAUGAAGUUUCUCUAUAAAUAGAGACUUGCCACUCAUUUAAGAGGAUCAUUGGUUGAAGGAAGAAUUUAACUAUAACCAUUAAUAUAUCAAACUUUAAUUCCACGAAAUAUAUUUCUUCGAAAUCGUGUGUGAACACAUACCAAGACAAAUGUGUAAAUGUUUGAAUAAUAUAUGUCAACAAAAAUAAAAUGUUUAAUUUGAAUGAGAAAGUUGAUGAAAAUAAUUUCAAAGUGUAGCAAAAUGGUAAAAUCACCUUAUAUUAAAUUAAACGAUCAAAACUAAACGAUUGUAUAGGAAAGAAUAGCUAAAUCUAAACGAUCAUUUAUCAAAUAUAUUAUGCGCGUUGGGUGACAAUUAAAUGACAGAGCAUUUUUUGUAUUUUCCAUCAUAGACCUAUGGACUUUUUUAGUAUAGUGUAAAUAUUUUAACGCUUAAUUAUAUUUUUUAAAAGAUCCCCUUAAAAUUUUACUUCUUGGGGAGUUUGGCGUGCAGGUUCAGAAUCAAAUGCCUGAGAAUUAAAUGACGGUGGGCUUAUUUGAUGGGGUUCCGAUACGUGAGAAUUACAGAUGCCUGUGUUUGGGGUACAGAAAUUGUGUGCAAGAAUUGAUAAUUAUAAUUUCUAAUGUUUGUGUUUUUAGGCUUAGUUAAUCUUUUUUUUCUUUUUUUUGUCAAUUGUACAAUCUAAAUUUAUCAUGUACAUAAUAUUUAAUUUAUAUUUUUUAAUACUUUGUACAUAUAAUUCAAUUUAUUGAUUUAUUGAUUUUCAUGACAAUAAUAUAAAACAAAAAAACUUAACAUUCAAUAACAAUAAUUUUGAUUACAGUUGCAUUAACAUGAAUGGUCUAAUUAGGAAUAUUACAAACUAUUCACAAAAUAUAACAAAUUAUGUAAUCGGAUGAAGUUUACAAAAAAUUCAAGCAAAGCAUUAAAAAGCGUCUAAUAGCUAAAUUUCAAAAUAAGCAUAACAAAAGGGUAAUGCAAAAGCAAAAGUGAAGUAGAAUUUAGUGAUAGUUAUGGUUGCCUUCCUAUGAUGCAUGUGCAAUAUAAUUUUUAAACUUAAACUGCUUUUAUCAAAAAAGUUUUAAAAUCCAAAUAAGUCCUAGGUUUUCUAGUUAAAGUGACCAAAGAAAAAAAUAAAAAAUGUAUAUUUAAAUCCUAAAUUUUGUACGCUAGAUAUAACAUACUCUUAAAUUUUAAAAUUACGUAGAAUAAUGUGUUUUAAAAUCUAAUUAUGUGUCAAAUAUAUUCAAAUUUUAAGCUUUUGCCAUUUAUUUUCUUCAAGUUUUACUCGAGAAGGGGAUUCAUAUUUUUCAUAUACAAAAAUUGAUAAAACAAAGAUGAGAAGUAAAGUUCUAAUGUGUUCAUUUAUUUUUAUUCUUUCAAUCAAAAUGUACCAUUUUUUAUUUUUUAUUUGAGUAAGAAAUAAAAUCUUUUUAUUUAUAUAUAUAUAUAAAACAAGAAAUUUUAUAUUUAUUCACUUAAAACAAUAAGAAUUUACCUUAACCAUUUUGACUAAAAAAUCUUAUUUAAUACAUAAAAGUACAAACAAAUUUUUAAUCUUUUUUUCCUUAAACCAACUUAAAUUAUUUCAAUCUUUAAUUUAUUUGACUUGUCAUCCAAAAUUAUAGUAAUAAUUUUAAAAUGGAAAUGAAAUUACUAGUUUAAUUUUGAGAACUAAAAUAAUUUUUUUUUUAAAAAAAAACCCUUCAUUUACCUUACGUUAAGCCCAUAGUUUUAAGUCAUGGGCCAAACAAAUGCCAAACCCACCUGAUGCCAAGUCCGGGGUCAAACACCCUCUUAUUUAUUUUAUUUUAUGAAUAAUUGCAAAUUUAUUAAUUAGAUUUAAAAUAAUUAAGUAUAUAGUAACAUUUUAAAAAAUUUGCAAAUAUAGCAAAAUUUGUCAAAUUCUAUCAAAGAUAUAAGUUUAUGUUGCAAAUAUUGGUCUGAUAGAUUAUACGAAGUCUAUAAGCGAUACAAGUCUAUCAGUGAUAAUUUACUAUAUUUACAAUUUUUUUUAAAUUUUGCUAUAUCCUUAAUUAUUGUUAGUGAAAUGGUUAUCUAUUGCAAUUUUUCUUUAUUUUAACUGAGUUCAAUAAUAGAAUCAACAAAUUAUAGUUUAGUUUAAUCACAGUUUUUUUAGUACAUCAAACAAAUGUAAAAGAAACAAAAGGAAAAGAAAAUUAAGAACCAAGUAAAUUAGAAAGAAGGGCAAAGUCUACCCAUAGAGUGAUCUUGAAGUCUCAAAGCUAAGUACUGAGACCUUCGAGGGUAACAAAAUUACACCUUCAGUCGGCAAAAUAAAAAUAUGGAAAAAAUCAUGAAAAUAGAAAUUGCAUAUGGCAUGGAGGCUUGAACCUUAUUCGAGUAUUCACAAUUUUCAACUGAUUAAUACAAAAGAAUUUUAGAAUCUAGUUCAAUCAAAAACGGAGAAAUACCAUUAAACAUGGCCUUAGGGAGCUCUUCCAAUCCCGUCAUAGCGAAGUGAAUUCUCAUAGCAAGUAGAACAGCACCGUUCAUGUUAUGAACAAUGGAUCUGAUGUCCAUUUCACCAUUCUAGAAACACAACGUUAGAGUUUAGCUUAAAAGUGUCAAUGGGAUAGGCACCGUCGGAAAAAAAAAACCUUCAUCAACUAGGAGAUAUCUAAUUAGCCAUAUGACAUAAAAAGAAGUAAUAAGAGAAGGAGAAUGAGCGAAAUAUGAUGAUAUUCACAAGUAAAGGACAUUCCUUUUAUAAAGGGAAAUCAUUUAAAACAAAAAAGCCUAACCUUUACAACCGUAAAACUAAAUGUAUAAUGGGCUUUGUAUUGGGCUCAGUGGAUUGUCUUAAUAUCCCCUCGCCCCCUCCCCUCAAGUCAAUGUCUACAGCAUGUGUAACACCCAAUUUUACUUGGAGUGGAAUGAAGGAAUGUGCAGAUAAUGGCUCGGUCAAAAUCUCUGCAACUUGAGUCGUUGCUGGAAGUUGAUGUUGGAUUGCAAUCUUGUUUUUGUAGAACAAGGUUUCUUAUAAAGUAUAUGUCUAGCUCAACAUGUUAUGUUCUUGAGUAUUGGAUUGGAUUUGCACUUAGAUGAACAACUCCAAGAUUUUCACACCAGAGUACCAGUGAUUUUGGUAGAUGGAUCUUUAGUUCUUUGAAAAGGGAGGCUAGCCAUAUAAGUUCUAUGGCUGCGUUUGCAAGGCAAGGAAAUUCUGCUUUGGUGUUUGAUCUAGAUACAAUAUGUUUUUUUUCAUCCCCAAGUAAUAAAGUUGCCACCAAAGUAUACACAUAUUCUAGAAGUAUAGUAUCUAUCAUCAGGAUUUGAUGGCUAGUUGACAUCAGCAAAGGCUUGAACUAUGAAAUUUCUUGGUUUCUUUAGUAGCAGUCUAUGCUUAAUGUUCUUUUGAGAUUUUGAACGAUUCUUUUCACUGUUUGCCAAUGGGAUAGUUUUGGAUUAUGCAUAAAAUGAUAGAUACAGUUUACUGAGUAAGCUAUUUAAGGCCUUGUGUGUUGGUGGCAUAUUGUAGGACUACUACAAUGCUUAUGUAUAUGUGGGAUUCCUUUCAAAAUUUUCAUUGCCUUUUGAUGAUAUAAUAGAAAAGCUAAUCAUAGAGAUUGCAGUAGGGUUUGCAUCAAACAUCUCUGUUCUUUGUAGUAUUUCUACCAUGUAUUUUUCUUGAGAUAGGAAUAGUCCACUAGUUUGUGGAUAGGUGACUUCUAUUCCCAAGAAGUAAUUGAAUUUUCUAAGGUCUUUCAAGGAGAAAGUGACAUUCAUUUAAGAGAUUAGUUUGUCAAUAUCAUGAUUUGAAAAACUAGUGAUAAUAAUGUCUUCUACAUAUAUCAGAAUGUAGUAGGAGGUGUGAUUUGUCAGUCUUGUAAACUGUGAGCAAUCAAGUUUUGAGUUUGUGAAUCCUUCGAAAAGUAGGAAGGUUUUUAGUCUCUUAAAUCAUGCCCUUGAAGCUUGUUUUAAGUACUUUCUUUAGUUUGUACACUAAUGGUUUCAUGUUGCACUCAAUGGUGAAGCCAAUUGGUUGUUUCAUGAAUACUUCCUCCAUUAGAAUGUCAUGACGGAAGGCAUUGUUUAUGUCUAAUUUUCGAAUUUGCCAGUUGUGCACAAGAACCAUAGUUAGUAUUACUAGAAUGAUUUUAAGUUUUACAACAGUAUUAUAGGUUUAUAAGUAAUCUAUGUCUGUUGUUUGGUGAAAGCCUUAAGCUAGUAACCAUGUUUUGUACCUUGAGAUAGAUCCAUUCAAGUUUUAAUUUACUUUAAAUACCCAUUUUGAGCCAAUUAUUUUCAUGUUAUAGAACAUAGGAACUAAAUCCCUGUUGUUUCUCAUUAGGGCUUUAUAUUCAUCAUUCAUUGCUUCAACCGAAUGAGGGUAUUUUAAUGCUUCUUUGGUUGAUUGAGGUUCUUAGAUCUCAUGUGUUGUUUCUCAUUACAGCUUUAUAUUCAUCAUUCAAUAAUUCAACCCAACAACGGUAUUUUAAUGCUUCUUUGGCUGAUUGAGGUUCUUUGUUUAAUUGUGUGAGGUAAGCUUUUGGCUCUAGGAUGUCAUUCUUUGAUCAUGUAACCAUUUGAUGUACGUUAGUAGUUCUGUAAGUUUGUGAUUAUGGAAUACGAUAUGAAUCUAGAAAUCAGAAUUGAAUCAAAUGAAGAAGUUGAAAAGAUGCAAUGCUUAGAAGUUAAAGAGUUAUUUGGACAACUCAAAAGUCAUAAAAUUAAAUGUUGUGACCUUUCAUUUCAUAUUUUAAUUAGCAUAAAUAGGGUUGUAAUUUCCACAUUUAAGAAAGAAAAUUUUGGAUGAAUGAAAUAUGAAAAUUCUAUAAUGUAGAAUUUUGUUUUUGUGUAUUCAUGUGAUAGAAUGCACAAAUAUUUGAAGCAUUCAAGUGAGUAUUGAUCUGUCUUUCUUUUGGUGUGCUUUGAAGAUCAUGGGUUGAUGGGAGUUUCUAACUCCGUUUGAUCCUUGGUUUCUUAGAUUAUCUAAGCAAUCUGUAUCUAGCCUAUCUUAGGGGUUGAAAUAAAAUUGGUUUUUGAAAUCAAAGGGGAAGACAUGUUCAUCAAAUAUUAUAUGUCUAGAGACAAAGACUUUACCGGAUAAAUCUAGACAUUUGUAUCCUUUAUGGUUAGGGUUGUACCCAAAAAAUAUGUAGGGAUCUGAUAUCAUUUGUAAUUGUGAUGAUUAUUAAGUUUAAGAAAUGAAAAGUAGAGGCAGCCAAAGGUUUUUAGUGAGGAGUAGCCUGAUGUUACUUUGAAUAGAGUUUCGAAGGAACUUCUUCCACGAUGGACAUCAAAUGCACUACAAGAAAUUGAGUUUUUAGUGGCACAAAAAAAACUUUACUAAAAGGAAAAGUGUUGCUAAAAGUAUUAGUGACACAGUGUUAUUCAUCGCUAGGACUAUUGUUGUAUCCGUAUAGCUAAAAGUUUCAGCGGCGCACCAAUUGUGCGCUGCAAAAAAUGUACUUUUAGUGAUAUUUGCACGUUACUAAAUGCUUACUUUUAGUAACAUAUAUUUUGUCACUAAUUGUUUUUUUAUAGUGACAUAGCACACUCGCCACUAAAGAUGAUGUUUUAGUGGCAAAUAAUGUUGUUGCUAAAGGUUAAUUUUUAUCAUUACAACAUCUUUUGAGACGUAUUGAGGUGUGCCAUUAAAAAUUCCUAUAGUUUUUUAGUUUAAAAAACCAAUGCUUUUUCAACGUUAUUGAAAGUGCCAAUAAAAGUAUUUUACUAAAUAAAAAACGCAAUAUCCAAUUUAUUAUAUAAACCUAUUAUAAAAUGUCAUAUAAUAAUCUUAGGAACUAUCACCAAGAAACAUGCAAUAACACCAACUUUAUCACAAGAAACUUUGAUAAUUUCAUAAAUAGUUCGAGCAAUGUCAACCUAAGUUAUAAGUAUGAAGUUACGUCAAGUAAAUGAAUGUCCAAAGUUAGUUCAAAAGUUAUAAGUAUGAAAUUACAUCAAGAAGUUACAUUUGUGCAAAAGUAUUGUGCAUAACAAAAAUUUCUAAAGUCUGGAAGCAUGAAUUUAAAUGAUCUUUCCUAACAAAAUUAUAGGAUACAAACCAAAAACUCUUUUCAUAUUCAUCUGAAGUCAAUAUCAAAAUCUUGUAUAAAAGACCAUUUGUGCGUCAAAUCUUAAAUGUGUAACAUAACAAAAUAAAUAAGUAAAACAUAUAAGCAAAAAAUAAAACUUAGACACUUUAAAUAUGACACUACUCAAAUGGAUGAAACUCAAACAUUCUAAGGUAUCAAAGAUAUAUAGCACUAGAGAAAGUGUCUUUGUAAACAGCACCGUUCAUGUUAUGAACAAUGGAAACAAAAAAUAUCUUUGUAAUAAAUUCUUUCACUAGAGAGAAUCGUUAUAGUCCUUCAUGAAGACGUCCUUGGAGUAAAAUUUUCUCAGUUACCUAAGACUUAACAAAGCAGACCAUUGGUUGGAAUUCAAAGAAACAAUAGUUAUCUUUUUGUAAACUGACUUACACUUGGAGAUUUUUCUUUAUGUGUGGAACAUGAAGAAUCUUUGGUAUGAAGAUAAUAGGACAAUCAUUAUCAUAAGAAAUUAAAAUAUCAUAUGGAAUAAAGAACGAAUUGUCUGGAGUUUAUGAUUUUCAAACUUGUUCCAUCACCAACAUGGACUUGUUCUAGUCCACUGUAGUUUGUGCUGAAGCUGAGGUUAACAAGGUCAUUUACGAUAUGAUUAAUUAAUGGCACCAGUGUCUGGAUAUCAUCCAUUGCUAUUGUUGUCUUGUGAGGUUGAACCCAUGUUUGUUUAAUGAGGACUGUUCUUGAAAUGAUUUUGAUUAUUGAACCUUGGCAUUCCAUGUGGAGUAUUACUAGUAAACUAUUUCUAGAAGUUAGGGUCAUAUAGAGAGUAACAUCUCAAGGCUGUAUGGCCAAAUUUUCCACAGAUUUGACACCGUGGUUUGGAAUUAUUCCAAGGUUUUCUUCCUCUUCCCCGAUUUCCAAUAUUGUUAUUAUUUCUUCCUCAAAUGUUAUUGUUGCUAUUUUUCCACUGGUUUCAUUGACUUUGCCCUUGAUUUCUUUUAUCUUAAUUUGGAGGAAAGUUUGUCGGGUUCUUAUCAAUAUUUCCAUAAACAAGAUUUGCAUAGGUUGAGUACCAUUAGUAUUUACUAGUGAGUUUCAUUCGAGUCUGCCUUCAUGACUAAGAAGAAGUAAGAUAAUUUUUUUGUAGUGGUUUUGACUUGGAUUUUGUAAAUAUCACUAAGACUAUAGUCAUAUUUUGAUUCCAAUCAUGAGAGAAUAUAUACAACGUGUGUCCUUGAAAAGAGAUAUGACAACCUACCUCAUUCAAGGCUAAAACAAGAUUUUUCACCUUUGUUGUGUAGUCUUUAAUCGAUUAAUUUCCCUUCUUUAUGUUUUGCAGUUGUUCCUUUAGUUACAUAAUCUUGGUUGUGUGUUUGAUGUGGAGUAAGUUUGUUCAAGUGAGUCAACCAGAUUUCUCUUGUUAUAUUACACCAAAUCAUUUGGGUGACUAUGUCUUCAUUCAUCGAUCCCAUUAACUAAGAGUAGAUUAAGCGAUCUUGUCGCAUCCAACUGAGGUACUCGAGGAUACCAAUCAAUUCUUCUCUAUUAGUGUUUCUUGCGGAACUAGUUUAUGCAUUUUCAGUGUUUCUUUCAAUUAUAAUGUUGUUCAACCUCUUCUUUUCUAGUUGCAAAUCAUUGAGGAUAUGCUCUUCCAAGGAGUGCCAAGUUUCCAGGUAAGAUGGUUGUUGUCAUUGAGUUUAAUCACUGCAAGAUGGUGCCCUGGGUAGAUUAUCACAGAGUUGUUCUUCAAGGAAGAAGAUGCUUCAUUGUUUAGAGUUGAAUUUGAGGAGGUCAUUGCUAUGGGGGGAGGCCUCUAAUAUCAUAAAAGAAGUAACAAGAGAAGCAGAACGAGGGCAGCAAGAAGUAGGGGUGUACAAAUAUGGGUUAAACCCGAAUAACCCGAACUACCCAACCCAUAUUAUAAGGGUUGGAUUGGGUUAGGUUAAAAUAUGGGAUGGGUUGGGUUAAAAAAAUUUGAUUUUUUCGGGUUAAGUUGGGUCUCGGGUUGGAGGGUUUAAAAAUUCGGUUCAACCCAACCUAACCUGAAUUAAUAUAAUAUAUAAAUAUAUAUAUUAUUUUAAUAAAGAACAAAUUAGAGAUAUAUAAAUUUUGAAUUUAUUGUAUGAAAGUUUGAAUUAUGUAGGUUUGAAAUUUAAAUGUAACAAUUUCAAACUUUUAUAACCCUUAGAAACUAGAAAACAAAAAAAAAAAAUUUAAAAAUAUUUUUAUAUGCAACCUGACAACCCAACCCUACUCAUAUUUUACGGGUUGGGUUGGGUUGAGUUAAAAACUAAAUUCAGGUUAUUCGGGUUGCCAAUCCAUAUAACCCGAAAAUAUGGGUUGGGUUGAGAACGUCUCCCAACCCAACCCAACCUAACCCGAUUUCACUCCUAGCAGGAGAAGGAAAAGUUUGGAAAAGUUCUAAUGAUUUUAUUCUCUAUAUUCACAUGUCCAUAGAAGUCUAUCAAUAUUGUUGAUCAAAAUUAUGCACUAAAUUUCAUCGUCCAUCAGACAAAAUAUAAAAUAGGAUUGAUGAGAUCAUAAAAAUUAGAAGGUUGAGUCAGACCAAAUAGUAGAAGCAAUGAGCGAAAGUAUUUUGAUAUCCAAUGAAUUCAGAACAUCUUUAAGACGUUAUAGUAAGAGGUGCUAAGUUAACAUUCAAAGAAAAUCGUAUCACAUGAGAGAACUAUAGUGAUAUUUCCAUAACUACAAUUGACAAAAUGAAAACAUAGAGAUUACUUCAAACAAAAUUCAUUCUUUUACUCGCUUUUAUGAUCAUAACUUGAUUCAAUUUGCAUACGAAAUUGGUUUGUAUAAAAUUACAAAUAGAUAAAUUAAGACACGGGCGCCCACAUGAACACAAGCGUAUAAAGGAAGAAAAACCAAAAUCAUAAACCAAAGAAAGAAAGAAAGAAAGAAAGAAGAAAUGAAGGCCAAGUAAGAAGAGACAAAAAUAAUAGAGACAGUGAUGGAAGAAGAGACACAAAAAGCCAAGAAAAUGAGAGGAGCUGAAUGAAGUGCAAACAACACUCAAACAAAAUGACAAUAUAUGUAGUAAUAAUAUUCAUAAAACCCAUCAUUGUAUAUUUUGUGAACAAAAAAAAUCCAUUUCCACUCAUUUUAAACUUUCAGUAUAACUCAUGAACUGUCAACCGAAGCAAACCAAAAUAAACUUUUACUACUUAAUCAAUUUGAAUGUUUAGUAGAUUUUAAUUUUUAAGCAUAAACAGUUAAUGCAUAUGUUUCACUCCUACAUUAUAUUUUCAAAUUAACAUAUAUCAAAAAAAAAAUGCUAAAUUUAAUCGAAUCAUUUUUUGAAAGCUAUUGUAAUUUAAAAGUUGGUGGAAAAAACGAACCUCUAACCUAAAUUUUUAUCUUUUUCAUUUCUACGCGGUUGUAUAAAUACUAAAGAAAGUCAUAUAAUAUUUUUACUUAGCUAUUUUGGUAGGAUUUAAAGAGAAGAUUAAAUUUAUUUAAGUAAUUUUAAAUUUAUUUUAUAUUAAAUUAAAUGAAAGUAAGUUAAACGAACGUAACUCAAUUGGUAUAAUAUUUAUAUUAUUAAUCACAAUGUUAGAAUUAGUUUGCCUCCCCCACAUAUUAUAAAAAAAUGAAAAAUUUAGAAAAGGAAGGUUUGCUUAUGAGUUAAAAGGGUAAAAGCUCUUCUUGAAACUUUAAAUCGGAUAAGAAGUAGAUGUAUGAUUUUUGAGGAGAAGUCAAAUGUCACUUUAUAUUGAAAAACCUAUAUAUAUAAAUG